GAAGUCAGUAGAGGACUUACUGAGACAGACGUUCGACAGACCCCUGGCUAUGGACCCGUGGAUAUAUUUGCUUAACAGAUCCAUCUAGGGGUGGACAAAAAAAGAGCAGAAACUGGUACACAAGAAAACUGUAAGUGCGCGCCGAACAUUAGAAACUGCAUGGCUCUCACCUGAGGGCACAGAGUUUCGGGAAGUGAUAGCCAGGAUAAGAGAAUGUAGAAUUAUGGACGACUUGACAGCAAGGGUAAAGGGGACGACAGCGGCAUUCCAGAGACUUUGGGAACCAUGGGGCAACAGUAUAGUGGGUUCAGGUGGAGACUGACAGGGAUCCGAAAGUGACGCAGAUAUGGACUGGCCACAGAGAUCCUCUCUAGCGGACUGGAAUUAGGGGGCCUGCGGUCCUCCUCCCCUCCCCCUCUUCUCCCCCGCUCUCUCAUUUCCUCCCCUUUUCCGCUCUACAUAUCCCCCU